rnacentral:tRNA from 1 species
GGGGUUGUGGCUCAGUGGUAGAGCACUUGCCUAGCAUGCAUGAGGCCCUGGGUUUGAUCCUCAGCCCCA